rnacentral:tRNA from 1 species
AAGACUUUAAGUUAAAUUAUAAACUUGUAGCCUUCAAAGUUAUAUAUAUCAACAAAACAAAGGUAAGUCUUA